rnacentral:rRNA from 1 species
AACGAACGCUGGCGGCAGGCUUAACACAUGCAAGUCGAGCGCCCCGCAAGGGGAGCGGCAGACGGGUGAGUAACGCGUGGGAAUCUACCCAUCUCUACGGAAUAACGCAUGGAAACGUGUGCUAAUACCGUAUACGUCCUUCGGGAGAAAAAUUUAUCGGAGAUGGAUGAGCCCGCGUUGGAUUAGCUAGUUGGUGGGGUAAAGGCCUACCAAGGCGACGAUCCAUAGCUGGCCUGAGAGGAUGAUCAGCCACACUGGGACGGAGACACGGCCCAGACUCCUACGGGAGGCAGCAGUGGGGAAUAUUGGACAAUGGGCGCAAGCCUGAUCCAGCCAUGCCGCGUGAGUGAUGAAGGCCCUAGGGUUGUAAAGCUCUUUCACCGGUGAAGAUAAUGACGGUAACCGGAGAAGAAGCCCCGGCUAACUUCGUGCCAGCCGCCGCGGUAAUAC